rnacentral:rRNA from 2 species
AACGCUGGCGGCAUGCCUAAUACAUGCAAGUCGAACGAGCUUCCGUUGAAUGACGUGCUUGCACUGAUUUCAACAAUGAAGCGAGUGGCGAACUGGUGAGUAACACGUGGGAAAUCUGCCCAGAAGCAGGGGAUAACACUUGGAAACAGGUGCUAAUACCGUAUAACAACAAAAUCCGCAUGGAUUUUGUUUGAAAGGUGGCUUCGGCUAUCACUUCUGGAUGAUCCCGCGGCGUAUUAGUUAGUUGGUGAGGUAAAGGCCCACCAAGACGAUGAUACGUAGCCGACCUGAGAGGGUAAUCGGCCACAUUGGGACUGAGACACGGCCCAAACUCCUACGGGAGGCAGCAGUAGGGAAUCUUCCACAAUGGACGAAAGUCUGAUGGAGCAAUGCCGCGUGAGUGAAGAAGGGUUUCGGCUCGUAAAACUCUGUUGUUAAAGAAGAACACCUUUGAGAAUAACUGUUCAAGGGUUGACGGUAUUUAACCAGAAAGCCACGGCUAACUA